UACGAAGGGGGCGAGCGUUGUUCGGAUUUACUGGGCGUAAAGGGCGCGCAGGCGGCUCAUUUUGUCAGGCGUGAAAGCCCCGGGCUUAACCUGGGAACUGCGUUUGAUACGGAUGGGCUAGAGUUCGGGAGAGGAGAGUGGAAUUCCCAGUGUAGAGGUGAAAUUCGUAGAUAUUGGGAAGAACACCGGUGGCGAAGGCGGCUCUCUGGGCAAUUCCUGACGCUGAGGCGCGAAAGCGUGGGGAGCAAACGGG
rnacentral:rRNA from 1 species